UUUCCGUAGGUGAACCUGCGGAAGGAUCAUUAUUGGAUUUUGAAACUUCAGGCUGCUGCUGGCUCUCCUCGGAGGGAAUGUGCACGCUUGUUGUCCAUUAUUUCUCCCACUGUGCACAAAUUGUAGACCUUUCAGUAGGCCUAUGUUGUUUUUCACAAUCUCUGAAUGUAAUAGAAUGGUUUUGAAUCUUGGGAAAUACAAUACAACUUUCAGCAACGGAUCUCUUGGCUCUC
rnacentral:misc_RNA from 1 species